rnacentral:rRNA from 1 species
UACGUAGGGGGCAAGCGUUGUCCGGAAUCAUUGGGCGUAAAGAGCGUGUAGGCGGUUCGGUAAGUCCGCUGUGAAAUCUCGAGGCUCAACUUCGAGCUGUCGGUGGAAACUAUCUGGCUAGAGUCCGGAAGAGGAGAAUGGAAUUCCUGGUGUAGCGGUGAAAUGCGCAGAUAUCAGGAAGAACACCCGUGGCGAAGGCGGUUCUCUGGGACGGUACUGACGCUGAGACGCGAAAGCGUGGGGAGCGAACAGG